GAUGAACGCUGGCGGCGUGCUUAACACACGCAAGUCGAGCGAAGCAUUUGCAGUUGAUUUCUUCGGAAUGAUUCUGUUUAUGACUGAGCGGCGGACGGGUGAGUAACGCGUGGGGAACCUGCCUCAUACAGGGGGAUAACAGUUAGAAAUGACUGCUAAUACCGCAUAAGCGCACAGUGCCGCAUGGCGCCGUGUGGAAAACUCCGGUGGUAUGAGAUGGACCCGCGUCUGAUUAGCUGGUUGGUGGGGUAACGGCCCACCAAGGCGACGAUCAGUAGCUGACCUGAGAGGGUGAUCGGCCACAUUGGGACUGAGACACGGCCCAA
rnacentral:rRNA from 1 species